AGAAGCCACCAGUUUCACCAAUGCUCCUAACUGCUCUUCCAUCCUGUUUCUGGUUCAUUCACAGUAUGGCUAAAUUAAAUGGCCUGCAGCAAAUACUGUUGGGUUAUCUAUUAAAAUACUCAGUGCCCUGAUACACAGCUGCAGCAAUUUUCCAGAAGCCAUGAGAUUUGGGAAUUAACAGAAAGAAGGAGGAAAGGAGCUACAGAGGCUGAUACCUCAGUUCCUGAUAACCAUACUACUCAAACCUUAGAGGCAGACAACAGAUGUUGCAGAGGUG